rnacentral:other from 1 species
AUUGUCCUGCGGUGUUCGAGAAGCUGAAUUUUCUUUGACCUAUUUUCUUGACGGGAUUCAAUCCCUGGGAACCGCAAGCCAGCCCGGCCUGUCCGGGACGCGACGCGCUCCCAUACCGGAUCCCACCUGCACCAGCAGGUUCGAGAAAACCGGCGGACCGGCACUCGCGGGCAUGUC